AAGCAAUUUGCUCAUAGCCAUAGCUUUCUUGUGAAAGUAGGAUAUUAACCCAGGUGUCUUGGUGCUGGAGAACAGAACUGGCCAGAGUCCAUCCUGUCUCCCACCGGCAUCCCAUUACGAAAUGAACACAGAAAAGGCAGGUCUGCAAUGCCAACAUCUAGUAUCUAUCCCAAAGACCAGGGAGAAAGGAAGGAAAGAUUCUGGUUCUGUCCUCUUCCCCAAGGCAAGGCUGGCUGCCCUACCAACAGAGGCAAAGAGAAGAGUGUGCAAGGCUGGCUGCCCUCCCAACAGAGGCAAAGAGGAGUGUGUGUUGAAAUAUCCAUUGAAUCCCUGAGACAACUGGAUCCUGGCCCAUUGAAUCAUAAACUCAGCAGAAUCUCACAUCAUAACCCCAAAUGACCUGUUACUCACCAUGUGGCCCAGCUGUCUUCAAACUCACCAGCCUCCUGCCUUAGCCUUCUAAAUGCUUGGAUUACAGGCAUGACCCACCAUAACUGGCUUUGUUUUAGUUUCAGAGAAGAUGAAACUGAUGUGCGUCAAAAAGCUGGUAGUCUGUCAAGGAAAUGAGCUGAACAUGUCUGUGUACAGCUUUUGUGCCAUCCCUGGAUGAGCGAGCUGUCUGCCUCUAUGUUCUCCACAAAAUGGAAUAUAGCUGUACACCCAAGCCAAGUUAUGGAGGCUGGGAAGACCUAGAAUGUGGCAUCACUAUUUGGUUAUUUAGAAAAUUGUUACCUCAAAAAUGACCUAGGGGUCCUUAGAAUAAUAACACACAGAAGAAUAGCCUCAUUUUUCUGUUGGGCCCAGGAAACCAUGCCGAUUACCGACCGAGCUCUCAAUGGAAAAAUGCAGUCGGCGUGAACCACGCACGAACACAGCAGAGAAAGAAGAAAACACACACCACGAGGAACCCUAAUAGGACAAUACAUUAUAAGCCUCAUGGUACAUCCACUUGGUGUGCUGGGAGAGUCAGGAUGAGGACCUGAGAAGAACAGCAGCUUGAACCUGACUUCAUUUAACAGCCCACUGCCCUCUUGCCAAGAACCCAUCACAGACCUUCCCAGAAGAGAGGGAUGAGCCUCACCUAUGAAUAAGUCCUCAGAAACUCAAAUUUGAUUCUAAUGGAUUGUUUUCUCAGAAAGACUGAGCAUGUCCCCCCACAUCUCUGUCAUUUCCCACAGUAGUAACCUCUGCAGAUGCCACAUAGAAAACAAAACAAAACAAAAAAACAUGAGGUUGGUGGGCAGAUAGGCAGGGUAUAAACAAACAGCCUUGUAACCCAGAAGCUGUGUGAUAUACAGUAAACUUCACAACACUGAAAAGAUGUCCUAUCUGUUAAAAUGGGGUAAUAACAACUACCCGAAUGUUUAGGAAUAGAACUUCAAUAAAUGAUACAUUUUAUAGUACAGCAGACCAUCCUGUAAAGGUUUCAUCCUUCACUGUGGUGAUAAAUAUCCCAAACCACAUUGAAAAGCAUUGCAUCUACAUUUAUCUACACUGUAACUGUACUGUAAAUCAUGGGGGAGGGGAGAAUCAUAAAAACACCACCUGUCACCGUGUCAUUAAAGCAAGUUGGAAGUGAUACUUACAGAAACACAGCAAGAGCACCCCCAGUCACACAGUUCAAUCUCUUAGCAAGCGUUUUCUUUCUAGCCCAGUGGUUCUCAGUUUGGAAUUUUUGGCACUGCCUAGAGAUAGUUUUGUUGUUAAAACUGAGAAAAGAGCCGGGCGUGGUGGCACACGCCUUUAAUCCCAGCACUCAGGAGGCAGAGGCAGG
rnacentral:lncRNA from 1 species